rnacentral:rRNA from 1 species
AUUGAACGCUGGCGGCGGGCCUAACACAUGCAAGUCGAACGAGUGGCGGACGGGUGAGUGAUGUCUGGGAACCUGCCUGAUGGAGGGGGAUAACUACUGGAAACGGUAGCUAAUACCGCAUAAAAUCAGAUGUGCCCAGAGGGGAUUAGGUAGUUGGUGGGGUAACGGCUCACCAAGGCGACGAUCCCUAGCUGGGCUGAGAGGAUGACCGGCCACACUGGAACUGAGACACGGCCCAGACUCCUACGGGAGGCAGCAGUGGGGAAUAUUGCACAAUGGGCGAAAGCCUGAUGCAGCCAUGCCGCGUGUAUGAAGAAGGUUUUCGGGUUGUAAAGUACUGUCAGUAGGGAGGCGUUACCCGCAGAAGAAGCCACGGCUAACUCCGUGCCAGCAGCCGCGGUAAUUC